rnacentral:tRNA from 1 species
UCCCUGGUGGCUCAGAUGGUAAAGAAUCUGCCUGCAAUGCAGGGGAUCCAGGUUUAAUCCCUGGGUUGGGAA